rnacentral:rRNA from 1 species
GACGAACGCUGGCGGCGUGCCUAACACAUGCAAGUCGAACGGAGUUGACCUUCGGGUUAACUUAGUGGCGAACGGGUGAGUAACGCGUGAGAAACCUGCCUUUCAGUGGGGGACAACAGUUGGAAACGACUGCUAAUACCGCAUAAUGUCAUUUGGGGGCAUCCCCGAAUGACCAAAGAUUUAUUGCUGAAAGAUGGUCUCGCGUCUGAUUAGCUAGAUGGCGGGGUAACGGCCCACCAUGGCGACGAUCAGUAGCCGGUCUGAGAGGAUGAGCGGCCACAUUGGGACUGAGAUACGGCCCAGACUCCUACGGGAGGCAGCAGUGGGGAAUAUUGGGCAAUGGGCGAAAGCCUGACCCAGCAACGCCGCGUGAAGGAAGAAGGCCUUCGGGUUGUAAACUUCUUUUACCAGGGACGAAAAUUUGACGGUACCUGGAGAAAAAGCAACGGCUAACUACGUGCCAGCCGCCGCCGUAAAAC